rnacentral:rRNA from 1 species
GCUCCAAUAGCGUAUAUUAAAGUUGUUGCAGUUAAAAAGCUCGUAGUUGAAUUUCGGGAUCAAUGUUUCGGUCAUGCCCUUGGUAUGUACUGAUAUUAUUGGUUUCUCACCUUCUAAAGAACCGUAAUGCCAUUAAUUUGGUGUCACGGGGAAUUAGGACUGUUACCUUGAAAAAAUUAGAGUGUUUAAAGCAGGCUCACGCUUGAAUACAUUAGCAUGGAAUAAUGAAAUAGGACAUCCGAUUCUAUUUUGUUGGUUUCUAGGAUCGAUGUAAUGAUUAAUAGGGAUAGUUGGGGGCAUUAGUAUUCAAUUGUCAGAGGUGAAAUUCUUGGAUUUAUUGAAGACUAACUACUGCGAAAGCAUUUGCCAAGGAUGUUUUCAUUAAUCAAGAACGAAAGUUAGGGGAUCGAAGACGAUCAGAUACCGUCGUAGUCUUAACCAUAAACUAUGCCGACUAGGGAUCGGAUGAUGUUAAUUUUUUAAUGACUCAUUCGGCGCCUUAC